rnacentral:rRNA from 1 species
CCUACGGGUGGCAGCAGUGAGGAAUAUUGGUCAAUGGACGAGAGUCUGAACCAGCCAAGUAGCGUGAAGGAUGACUGCCCUAUGGGUUGUAAACUUCUUUUAUAUGGGAAUAAAGUGCAGUAUGUAUACUGCUUUGCAUGUACCUUAUGAAUAAGGAUCGGCUAACUCCGUGCCAGCAGCCGCGGUAAUACGGAGGAUCCGAGCGUUAUCCGGAUUUAUUGGGUUUAAAGGGAGCGUAGAUGGGUUGUUAAGUCAGUUGUGAAAGUUUGCGGCUCAACCGUAAAAUUGCAAUUGAUACUGGCAGCCUUGAGUACAGUUGAGGUAGGCGGAAUUCGUGGUGUAGCGGUGAAAUGCUUAGAUAUCACGAAGAACUCCGAUUGCGAAGGCAGCUUACUAAACUGCCACUGACAUUGAUGCUCGAAAGUGUGGGUAUCAAACAGGAUUAGAUACCCCUGUAGUC